GGUCACUGCUAUCAGUGUUCGAUUAAGCCAUGCGAGUUAAAUGUUCUUCGUGAACAUAGCAGACUGCUCAGUAACACGUGGAUAACCUGCCCUUAGGACUGGCAUAACCCCGGGAAACUGGGGAUAAUUCCGGAUAGAUCAUAAAUGCUGGAAUGCUUUAUGAUUGAAAGGUUUCGACCGCCUUAGGAUGGAUCUGCGGCCUAUCAGGUUGUAGUGGGUGUAAUGUACCUACUAGCUUACGACGGGUACGGGUUGUGGAAGCAAGAGCCCGGAGAUGGAUUCUGAGACAUGAAUCCAGGCCCUACGGGGCGCAGCAGGCGCGAAAACUUUACAAUGCGGGAAACCGUGAUAAGGGAACACUGAGUGCUAGCAUUUAUGUUAGCUGUCCACAUGUGUAAAUAGCAUGUGAUAGCAAGGGCUGGGCAAGACCGGUGCCAGCCGCCGCGGUAACACCGGCAGCCCGAGUGGUGAUCACUAUUAUUAGGUCUAAAGGGUCCGUAGCCGGUUUAAUCAGUCUUCUGGGAAAUCUAAUCGCUUAACUAUUAGGCCUCCAGGGGAUACUGUUAGACUUGGGACCGGGAGAGGUAAGAGGUACUGCAGGGGUAGGAGUGAAAUCUUGUAAUCCCUGUGAGACCACCAGUGGCGAAGGCGUCUUACCAGAACGGGUCCGACGGUGAGGGACGAAAGCUGGGGGCACGAACCGGAUUAGAUACCCGGGUAGUCCCAGCUGUAAACGAUGCUCGUUAGGUGUCAGGAACGGUGCGACUGUUUCUGGUGCCGAAGGGAAGCCGUGAAGCGAGCCACCUGGGAAGUACGGCCGCAAGGCUGAAACUUAAAGGAAUUGGCGGGGGAGCACUACAACGGGUGGAGCCUGCGGUUU
rnacentral:rRNA from 1 species